GCGGCCUGCAGCUUGGGCAGGGGAGCCUGGUCCUUCGCGUGCACCACGGUGACGGUGUGCUUGGCGAGGUCGGCGUUCACCUUGCCGACGCCGGGC
rnacentral:tRNA from 1 species